rnacentral:lncRNA from 10 species
AAUUUGAAGACAGGUUCUAACUGCAAAGUCCACACAAGUAAUUGCCCUACGUUAUUGACUUUCAGAAUUUAGGAAUAUCAUCUGUCUAAUCUGGAGAAACACGUCUUAUAGUUGGCCACUCUCAUGGUUCUUGUCGCCUUCUGUUGUUUGGAGGAAUCUAAGGAUUUAUGGAAGUUAUGUUGGUAUAUCGGAAGCUGGUUGGUAUAUAUUUGACAAGAGAAUGAAGGCCAAAUUGAGUUUCUCUGAGCAACUCCUUUAAAGUUAAGAAUCAAGCCGGUGCUCAAGGUCAGA